rnacentral:rRNA from 1 species
CAGCGCCACGAGUGGCAACCGCAUUUAUUGGGCCUAAAGCGUCCGUAGCCUGUUUGAAGAAUCUUUUGUGAAAUCGUGGGGCUUAACUCCAUGUCGUGCAGAAGACACUUUCAGACUUGGAACCGGGAGGAGUUAGAGGUAUUCUGGGGGGAGCGGUAAAAUGUUCUGAUCCCUGGAGGACCACCUGUGGCGAAGGCGUCUAACUAGAACGGAUUCGACGGUGAGGGACGAAAGCUGGGGGAGCAAACCGGAUUAGAUACCCGAGUAGUCC